UACGGAGGGUGCAAGCGUUGUCCGGAUUUAUUGGGUUUAAAGGGUGCGUAGGCGGCCCAUUAAGUCAGUGGUGAAAUCCAACAGCUCAACUGUUGAACUGCCAUUGAUACUGGUGGGCUUGAGUAAAGUCGAGGCAGGCGGAACUGGUGGUGUAGCGGUGAAAUGCAUAGAUACCACCAAGAACCCCGAUUGCGAAGGCAGCUUGCUGGGCUUUAACUGACGCUGAGGCACGAAAGCGUGGGGAGCGAACAGGAUUAGAUACCCCGGUAGUCC
rnacentral:rRNA from 1 species